rnacentral:rRNA from 1 species
GACGAACGCUGGCGGCGUGCUUAACACAUGCAAGUCGAGCGGUAAGGCCCUUCGGGGUACACGAGCGGCGAACGGGUGAGUAACACGUGGGUGACCUGCCCCCUACUCUGGGAUAAGCCUGGGAAACUGGGUCUAAUACCGGAUAUGACCUCAUAUCGCAUGGUUUGUGGGGGAAAGGUCUUUUCGGUGGGGGAUGGGACCGCGGCCUAUCAGCUUGUUGGUGGGGUGAGGGCCUACCAAGGCGACGACGGGUGGCCGACCUGAGAGGGCAACCGGCCACACUGGGACUGAGACACGGCCCAGACUCCUACGGGAGGCAGCAGUGGGGAAUAUUGCGCAAUGGGCGGAAGCCUGACGCAGCGACGCCGCGUGGGGGAUGACGGCCUUCGGGUUGUAAACCUCUUUCGGCCCCGACGAAGCGUGAGUGACGGUAGGGGUAGAAGAAGCACCGGCCAACUACGUGCCAGCCGCCGCCGUAACAC